rnacentral:rRNA from 1 species
GAUGAACGCUGGCGGCGUGCCUAAUACAUGCAAGUCGAGCGAACAGACGAGGAGCUUGCUCCUCUGACGUUAGCGGCGGACGGGUGAGUAACACGUGGAUAACCUACCUAUAAGACUGGGAUAACUUCGGGAAACCGGAGCUAAUACCGGAUAAUAUAUUGAACCGCAUGGUUCAAUAGUGAAAGACGGUUUUGCUGUCACUUAUAGAUGGAUCCGCGCCGCAUUAGCUAGUUGGUAAGGUAACGGCUUACCAAGGCAACGAUGCGUAGCCGACCUGAGAGGGUGAUCGGCCACACUAGAACUGAGACACGGUCCAGACUCCUACGGGAGGCAGCAGUAGGGAAUCUUCCGCAAUGGGCGAAAGCCUGACGGAGCAACGCCGCGUGAGUGAUGAAGGUCUUCGGGUCGUAAAACUCUGUUAUUAGGGAAGAACAAAUGUGUAAGUAACUAUGCACGUCUUGACGGUACCUAAUCAGAAAGCCACGGCUAACUACGUG